rnacentral:rRNA from 1 species
AGAGUUUGAUCCUGGCUCAGGAUGAACGCUAGCGAUAGGCUUAACACAUGCAAGUCGAGGGGCAGCAUUAAAUCAGCUUGCUGAUUUAGAUGGCGACCGGCGCACGGGUGAGUAACACGUAUGCAACCUACCCUUAACAGGGGGAUAGCUCUCUGAAAGGCGAAUUAAUACCCCAUAAUACAUUUUAGCUGCAUGGCAUA